AGGGUGAGUCGACCCCUAAGGCGAGGCCGAAAGGCGUAGUCGAUGGGAAACAGGUUAAUAUUCCUGUACUUGGUGUUACUGCGAAGGGGGGACGGAGAAGGCUAUGUUGGCCGGGCGACGGUUGUCCCGGUUUAAGCGUGUAGGCUGGUUUUCCAGGCAAAUCCGGAAAACCAAGGCUGAGGCGUGAUGACGAGGCACUACGGUGCUGAAGCGACAAAUGCCCUGCUUCCAGGAAAAGCCUCUAAGCAUCAGGUAACAUCAAAUCGUACCCCAAACCGACACAGGUGGUCAGGUAGAGAAUACCAAGGCGCUUGAGAGAACUCGGGUGAAGGAACUAGGCAAAAUGGUGCCGUAACUUCGGGAGAAGGCACGCUGAUAUGUAGGUGAAGCGACUUGCUCGUGGAGCUGAAAUCAGUCGAAGAUACCAGCUGGCUGCAACUGUUUAUUAAAAACACAGCACUGUGCAAACACGAAAGUGGACGUAUACGGUGUGACGCCUGCCCGGUGCCGGAAGGUUAAUUGAUGGGGUUAGCGGCAACGCGAAGCUCUUGAUCGAAGCCCCGGUAAACGGCGGCCGUAACUAUAACGGUCCUAAGGUAGCGAAAUUCCUUGUCGGGUAAGUUCCGACCUGCACGAAUGGCGUAAUGAUGGCCAGGCUGUCUCCACCCGAGACUCAGUGAAAUUGAACUCGCUGUGAAGAUGCAGUGUACCCGCGGCAAGACGGAAAGACCCCGUGAACCUUUACUAUAGCUUGACACUGAACAUUGAGCCUUGAUGUGUAGGAUAGGUGGGAGGCUUUGAAGUGUGGACGCCAGUCUGCAUGGAGCCGACCUUGAAAUACCACCCUUUAAUGUUUGAUGUUCUAACGUUGGCCCGUAAUCCGGGUUGCGGACAGUGUCUGGUGGGUAGUUUGACUGGGGCGGUCUCCUCCUAAAGAGUAACGGAGGAGCACGAAGGUUGGCUAAUCCUGGUCGGACAUCAGGAGGUUAGUGCAAUGGCAUAAGCCAGCUUGACUGCGAGCGUGACGGCGCGAGCAGGUGCGAAAGCAGGUCAUAGUGAUCCGGUGGUUCUGAAUGGAAGGGCCAUCGCUCAACGGAUAAAAGGUACUCCGGGGAUAACAGGCUGAUACCGCCCAAGAGUUCAUAUCGACGGCGGUGUUUGGCACCUCGAUGUCGGCUCAUCACAUCCUGGGGCUGAAGUAGGUCCCAAGGGUAUGGCUGUUCGCCAUUUAAAGUGGUACGCGAGCUGGGUUUAGAACGUCGUGAGACAGUUCGGUCCCUAUCUGCCGUGGGCGCUGGAGAACUGAGGGGGGCUGCUCCUAGUACGAGAGGACCGGAGUGGACGCAUCACUGGUGUUCGGGUUGUCAUGCCAAUGGCACUGCCCGGUAGCUAAAUGCGGAAGAGAUAAGUGCUGAAAGCAUCUAAGCACGAAACUUGCCCCGAGAUGAGUUCUCCCUGACUCCUUGAGAGUCCUGAAGGAACGUUGAAGACGACGACGUUGAUAGGCCGGGUGUGUAAGCGCAGCGAUGCGUUGAGCUAACCGGUACUAAUGAACCGUGAGGCUUAACCUUACAACGCCGAAG
rnacentral:rRNA from 1 species